rnacentral:rRNA from 1 species
GUUGGGUUAAGUCCCGCAACGAGCGCAACCCUCGGUCCUUAGUUGCUAACAGUUCGGCUGAGCACUCUAGGGAGACUGCCUUCGCAAGGAGGAGGAAGGUGAGGACACGUCAAGUCAUCAUGGCCCUUACGGCCAGGGCUACACACGUGCUACAAUGGGGCGUACAGAGAGCUGCGAUACCGCGAGGUGGAGCCAAUCUCUUAAAGCGUCUCUCAGUUCGGAUUGUUCUCUGCAACUCGAGAACAUGAAGCUGGAAUCACUAGUAAUCGCAGAUCAGCUAUGCUGCGGUGAAUACGUUCCCGGGUCUU